UACGUAGGGUGCGAGCGUUAAUCGGAAUUACUGGGCGUAAAGCGUGCGCAGGCGGUUUUGUAAGCCAGAUGUGAAAUCCCCGGGCUUAACCUGGGAAUGGCAUUUGGGACUGCAAGGCUGGAGUGUGGCAGAGGAGACUGGAAUUCCCGGUGUAGCAGUGAAAUGCGUAGAUAUCGGGAGGAAUACCGAUGGCGAAGGCGGCCCCCUGGACCGGAACUGACGCUGAGGCGCGAAAGCGUGGGUAGCAAACGGG
rnacentral:rRNA from 1 species